CGCAGCGAGAGGUGCUUGCACCUUUCAAGCGAGUGGCGAACGGGUGAGUAACACGUGGAUAACCUGCCUCAAGGCUGGGGAUAACAUUUGGAAACAGAUGCUAAUACCGAAUAAAACUUAGUAUCGCAUGAUAUCAAGUUAAAAGGCGCUACGGCGUCACCUAGAGAUGGAUCCGCGGUGCAUUAGUUAGUUGGUGGGGUAAAGGCUUACCAAGACGAUGAUGCAUAGCCGAGUUGAGAGACUGAUCGGCCACAUUGGGACUGAGACACGGCCCAAACUCCUACGGGAGGCUGCAGUAGGGAAUCUUCCACAAUGGGCGCAAGCCUGAUGGAGCAACGCCGCGUGUGUGAUGAAGGCUUUCGGGUCGUAAAGCACUGUUGUAUGGGAAGAAAUGCUAAAAUAGGGAAUGAUUUUAGUUUGACGGUACCAUACCAGAAAGGGACGGCUAAAUACGUGCCAGCAGCCGCGGUAAUACGUAUGUCCCGAGCGUUAUCCGGAUUUAUUGGGCGUAAAGCGAGCGCAGACGGUUGAUUAAGUCUGAUGUGAAAGCCCGGAGCUCAACUCCGGAAUGGCAUUGGAAACUGGUUAACUUGAGUGUUGUAGAGGUAAGUGGAACUCCAUGUGUAGCGGUGGAAUGCGUAGAUAUAUGGAAGAACACCAGUGGCGAAGGCGGCUUACUGGACAACAACUGACGUUGAGGCUCGAAAGUGUGGGUAGCAAACAGGAUUAGAUACCCUGGUAGUCCACACCGUAAACGAUGAAUACUAGGUGUUAGGAGGUUUCCGCCUCUUAGUGCCGAAGCUAACGCAUUAAGUAUUCCGCCUGGGGAGUACGACCGCAAGGUUGAAACUCAAAGGAAUUGACGGGGACCCGCACAAGCGGUGGAGCAUGUGGUUUAAUUCGAAGCAACGCGAAGAACCUUACCAGGUCUUGACAUCCUUUGAAGCUUUUAGAGAUAGAAGUGUUCUCUUCGGAGACAAAGUGACAGGUGGUGCAUGGUCGUCGUCAGCUCGUGUCGUGAGAUGUUGGGUUAAGUCCCGCAACGAGCGCAACCCUUAUUGUUAGUUGCCAGCAUUCAGUUGGGCACUCUAGCGAGACUGCCGGUGACAAACCGGAGGAAGGCGGGGACGACGUCAGAUCAUCAUGCCCCUUAUGACCUGGGCUACACACGUGCUACAAUGGCGUAUACAACGAGUUGCCAACCUGCGAAGGUGAGCUAAUCUCUUAAAGUACGUCUCAGUUCGGACUGCAGUCUGCAACUCGACUGCACGAAGUCGGAAUCGCUAGUAAUCGCGGAUCAGCACGCCGCGGUGAAUACGUUCCCGGGUCUUGUACACACCGCCCGUCACACCAUGGGAGUUUGUAAUGCCCAAAGCCGGUGGCCUAACCUUCGGGAGGGAG
rnacentral:rRNA from 1 species